GAUGAAGAACGUAGUGAAAUGCGAUAAGUAAUGUGAAUUGCAGAAUUCAGUGAAUCAUCGAAUCUUUGAACGCACAUUGCGCCCGCCAGUAUUCUGGCGGGCAUGCCUGUCUGAGCGUCAUUUCAACCCUCAUGCCCCUAGGGCGUGGUGUUGGGGAUCGGCCAAAGCCCGCGAGGGACGGCCGGCCCCUAAAUCUAGUGGCGGACCCGUCGUGGCCUCCUCUGCGAAGUAGUGAUAUUCCGCAUCGGAGAGCGACGAGCCCCUGCCGUUAAACCCCCAACUUUCCAAGGUUGACCUCAGAUCAGGUAGGAAUACCCGCUGAACUUAAGCAUAUCAAUAAGCGGAGGA
rnacentral:misc_RNA from 1 species